CCUACGGGAGGCAGCAGUGAGGAAUAGUGGUCAAUGGGCGCGAGCCUGAACCAGCCAAGUCGCGUGAGGGAAGACGGUCCUAUGGAUUGUAAACCUCUUUUGUCGGGGAGCAAAAGACGCCACGCGUGGCGUUCCGAGAGUACCCGAAGAAAAAGCAUCGACUAACUCCGUGCCAGCAGCCGCGGUAAGACGGAGGAUGCGAGCGUUAUCCGGAUUUAUUGGGUUUAAAGGGGGCGCAGGCGGAAGAUCAAGUCAGCGGUAAAAUUGAGAGGCUCAACCUCUUCGAGCCGUUGAAACUGGUUUUCUUGAGUGAGCGAGACGUAUGCGGACUGCGUGGUGUAGCGGUGAACUGCCUAGCUCUCACGC
rnacentral:rRNA from 1 species